AUGGUAAGAGGAGGAAGGAUCUUGAGUUUCAAGGUGGCCUUGCCACCUAAUCUCACGAAUUUGCAUGAUGUGUUCUAUGUUUCGCAGUUGCAUAAGUAUAUUUCAGAUCCAUAUCAUGUGAUACCGAUGGAUGAUGUACAAGUGCGGGAUAAUCUUACGGUCGAGACUUUACCAGUGAGAAUCAAAGACCGUGAAGUGAAGACGUUGAGGGGAAAAGGGAUUCCUCUUGUGAAGGUAGUUUAG